UGAUCUGACGAGCUUGCUCUGAUUUGAUUUUAUCUGACAAAGAGUGGCGAACGGGUGAGUAACACGUGGGUAACCUACCUCUUAGCAGGGGAUAACAUUUGGAAACAAGUGCUAAUACCGUAUAAUACCAACAACCGCAUGGUUGUUGGUUGAAAGAUGGUUCUGCUAUCACUAAGAGAUGGACCCGCGGUGCAUUAGCUAGUUGGUAAGGUAACGGCUUACCAAGGCAAUGAUGCAUAGCCGAGUUGAGAGACUGAUCGGCCACAAUGGGACUGAGACACGGCCCAUACUCCUACGGGAGGCAGCAGUAGGGAAUCUUCCACAAUGGGCGCAAGCCUGAUGGAGCAACGCCGCGUGUGUGAUGAAGGGUUUCGGCUCGUAAAACACUGUUAUAAGAGAAGAACGGCACUGAGAGUAACUGUUCAGUGUGUGACGGUAUCUUACCAGAAAGGAACGGCUAAAUACGUGCCAGCAGCCGCGGUAAUACGUAUGUUCCAAGCGUUAUCCGGAUUUAUUGGGCGUAAAGCGAGCGCAGACGGUUAUUUAAGUCUGAAGUGAAAGCCCUCAGCUCAACUGAGGAAUGGCUUUGGAAACUGGAUGACUUGAGUGCAGUAGAGGAAAGUGGAACUCCAUGUGUAGCGGUGAAAUGCGUAGAUAUAUGGAAGAACACCAGUGGCGAAGGCGGCUUUCUGGACUGUAACUGACGUUGAGGCUCG
rnacentral:rRNA from 1 species